GGCAGCUCCAGGCUAUUCCGAGGAACAGUCUUCAGAGAGCCUGGGGUGCUGAUGGGGAAAAGCUGUUGCUGAGAUUUGACAAGUUUGGUCCUGAGAUGUCAGAAAGGAUUUCAGCUCUUCUGCCACCCCAAGGACGGUGGCGCGUAAAUCACAGUGAGCUGGCUUAUGUCAGAGGACAAUGAAUCCAGGCAGUGAUCCACCAAUGAUAACUAACAUCAUAAAAAGAUACAUGGCCGGAUAUGAUGUUCCUUCUGACGGAAGACCACAACACCUGCUGAAAAAUCAAAUCUGAAUCGGAUCAAGCCUCUAGAGGUAACUCCCAGCUAUAGGAAUUAGAGAACUGGGGGGCAUGUUAAUAUGUCAAGGUG
rnacentral:lncRNA from 1 species